rnacentral:misc_RNA from 1 species
ACCCAAGCAGGGCUCACUUGUCAGUAGCCAGCAGUUGCUAUGACGUAUUGUGUGGAACUUGCGUAUGAGCCAAAACAAUGUUGUUUACGUCAGUGUGAAGUUUUAUUAGUGACGCGAUUGAGUACAGAGUUACGCCUUAAUUAUCAGUGUAUGGGCGGAUUUUUUAGAUUAAGUCUUUAAGUGGAAAAUAAUGGUUUGCUGCGCGAUUGCCGGUUGUACUAACCAUAGCAGACAAGUAAAUAAGUUGGGAAUUAAGUUUCAUAUAUUUCCCAAAAAGAGUGAGACGAAACAAAAAUGGAUAAAUGCAUGUAAACGUGCAGAUAAGUUUUCCGUUGAAAAUGCUCGUGUCUGCUCAAUACAUUUUACUGAUUCGGAUUAUGAAAGGGAUUUGAAAAGUGAACUGUUGAACAUUCCUUCGAAAUGCAAAUUGAAGACUGAUGCUGUUCCAACACUAAACCUACCGUCUUCCGGUGCCGGCAUAGGUUUUAGUAAUGAGCGUAAUGAUAGAGACGUGCGGGCACAGAAACGAAGGUACCGCCAAGAGGGUAUUAUACAGAAGACUGCACAGGGAGAACAUCGAAGUUCUGUAUGUGGUGUGACUGUCGUCAAACAUGAGCCAGUGGAGGCUGUCCCACUCACAUUUCCGAAGCAAGAGAUGGAGCUUCUAUCUGUUAAGGAAGAACCUUUGGAUUGGGAGGUGCCUGAUGGCCACGUUAACACACAGGAGCCACUAAAUGCUGUUAAAGAGGCAUGUUCACCUUCAGAUGAUUGUCUCGGGCCUAGAACACUCAAUACUGGAAAGACAGAGGAUGACGAAGAUGAGGAGGCAAUGAGUGAGGAUGACUUUGUGGUGGUCAAGCAUGAAGUGGAGUCAGUAGGUAGUGACAGCGAACAAGAAAGCCCAAUUUGAAGAAGAGGUGAGACCCCCUCCCCGCACUUUUAGGUGUAUGGUUGUAGCUGAGGAGGAGGAUGGGGAUGGGGAUGUAAUCUCCACAGCAGACACUGUGGAAUUCAAUGUAGAUGAGGAGCAGAGAUCAACAGCAUAAUUGAAGAGCUUGAGAUGGAAGAGGAGAUGGUAAGUGCAUUACAGUGUUCAUAAGCAGAGAUGUUUGAGUUGCAGAUGGAACUUGAAUGGUCAGAUUGGUACAGUGAAUGUGUGUGUGAUAUUCCACACACACACCAUCACCCUUGUAAUUGACUGUCCACGGUGUUAGUUUGAAAUUCAUGUGUAAAAUCUUCGCUGUCCUCCACCAGCACAAUUGACAACUGACGAUGCACUGCAUUCUUCCAGCUAUCACCAUCAGCACUCUGCUCUAUCUGUGAAGUGAUCCCAGUCCCUGUGCUCUUGACCACUUCACAAGGUGCUUAGGGAAUGUUCUAUGAUAGUGGAAUGACCACAGUUCAUUACAUGUGCUAGUUCUUGAGUACCCCGACACGUAUGACCGUAGAUUAAUGCGUUAAAACAAUCUUCGUCAAAACUUAACGAGCCAGUAAUGCUGAAAUGAGAAUCCAUUUUCUUACCAUUCACUGUCCAGUGGCAUUAUCAGCAUACACAGCACAAAAUGUUACUCAGCUGCUGUAAGUUCUCUAUUGAUUUGCUUUAUAUUAGACUGUGAUGAAAGGUCUAAAAAAAUUUCGAGGACGAAACACAGAGCUUCACGUACUAAUAAGGAGUAGUAUCAAUUGUGUUUGACAUUCGAUCAAAUGAUUCAAUGGACCUGAUUUUGACAAAUUAAAUUUCCCUUAUGACAGUGUAGUGUGAAUGCCAUUUAAUCUUUAAAGUAACCUUGGAUGCAAAAUUAUAUGCAUUACAGGAUCUGCACUGUAAAUUCAUCAAACAGCAGUUAUAACCCACAAAUUAUUUGUAAUUAGUUGAGGUGAUCAUUUAAAUUUAUCUUUCAUUGCAGCAAUAGAAUUAUUAUUAACAGCAUCCACAUUAUUGCUGUUACUUUGUCUACACAAAAGUUGUGCAUCUUUAGGUCUUUGUCUUUCAGUCCACCUUGUUAGUGUUCUUCUUCAAGGCAUAACCUAAAACAGGUAUAGUUUCUGAAUAAUAAGGGAAGUCAUGGCUAUUCAGAGUACAUGAAUUGAAAAUUGGGAAAUUACUUCAAAUUUAAUGGUAAAGGAGGUAAAUGAGCACAAAGUUACUUGUUGCAGGGUGUCGAUGAUCGAACCUGGGACUCCAGAUGGCCGAGCAUGAAGCUGGCACCCCCAUGCCGUUUCUCAUCAGGAGGUUGAGCAAGUUCAGUAGCGUCAAGGGGCAGUGCAGAGUGAUACAGCGGUAUUCGGCAGCAUUGCUUUAUUCACAUAAUUUACAGUACUUCGAUGGGAGCAGCGUAGUGCUGUCAUGCCGCCCGCAGCGUUGUCCCAUGAGUCCAGCCGGCUCAGCAACUCCUGGUAUGCUGAUGCUGCUGCUCCGUCAUCAAAGUCGCUCAUCUAGGAGUCAGCAAUUCUCUGCCCGGUCGCCGCCCGCUGAGGCAUCGCAUCCUGCGCCACGUAGGUGCCUGCGAUUCCGGAGACUGUUACAGUCCCUGGUUCCCACCACCCUCCGCCUCGUUUAGCCUGUUCCGUCUGACCAGGCGAUGAAGGUGGAUGUGCUGGUCACUCAAGGCCCUCAGGCCGCCCCUGCUCCCAGGACAGGACCGGACUCGAACCCGCGCCCUCCUGGACGCCGUGCCGCAACUUGCCACUAGUGGUGCUUGCCGGAUGGCAACACCCACUGCCGUCUCCGGUGCUGCCGCAGUGCUGCCAUGCCUCCUGCAGCGUACGCCUCGCCCAGACUCUGGUACGCCAGGUGGGAAGCAAACGUGGCCCGUCCUGGACCCGCUGCAGACCACUGUCACUGCCCUCCUUCAGGCAGACCUUGUAAUCUCCAAGUACCCAGCUGCCAUUCUGUCCCGUCCCGCUCUAGCUCCAACCCGUCAUUGUUAUCCUUCAAAGCAUAGUCUAAAACAACCUUGGUUUCCAUGUAAUAAGGGAAGAUGGAAGUCACAGAUAUUCAAAAUGAAGAAAUGAAAAUUAGAAACUUACUUUAAAUUUUCUUGUAACGGAAGUAAAUGUGCUCAAGGUUACUCCUACAGAAAAGCAAUAGAAAUCACAACAGCAGCAUAAAACAUUACUUACAGACUUCUUUACGAUGAUAUUUUGAUUUCCAGUGCUGAAACUUCAUCAGCCUAACAGAUGUUGCACUGUAAAUGCCCUGUAUGUAUGUCCCAAGGUUUCGAUUUCACUAAAUGUUGUUACGUUCAUGUGUCAUUUCAACCACAGCACCUGAUCAGUGUUGGUACCAAUAUUAGCGAAGUGAGAUAUAGGAAUGUCCAGUUUUCAUGUAGUGGUGAUUCUAAUGCAUCAUAGAGAAGAUAUUAUCAGUUAUGAAUAUGAAUGCAUAUACUUCCUUUUAUGACUCGUAACAGCUACAUACCCACACAAUUUUUUUCUUUGUGCAUGUCAAUGGCAAAGUAUGUUUAAAAUUCUAUAAGGUCAUUGGCUCCCUUGUGUAAUUAAUAUUAAAAAUCUGCACUUCAGUGUUCAGUUUCAUGUAUUAAUAUUAUGAUAGCCAUCUAAUGACUUACGGAGCCUUGAUUCAAUCAUUUAAAUGUGUUUGGAUAGUUAAACUAAUACUAUCAUUAUUGUCCCUAAAUAAAAAACAUUCUGUAUGUCUUCCCUACACAUCUUAUUGGCAAUAAAUUCAAUCAAGUUAUACAUUGUUAUUUCAAUGUAUGUCAACAGUACUUGAUUCCUAAAUAAAUCUAACAGUUAUGUUAGUUCACUUGUGGCUGCAGGCAAUACUUUACGCUGCUGGAUCUGUCAUGUAAAUUUUUCAUGGAGAUAGAUAACCUUACGUGCAGUGUUAUGCUUACUAAUGGCAUACCCAAGUUACUUUCAUUUUGGUUGAGCACUCGAUGUCCUGCACCAAGUUCCUGGCUUGGUGAUGUACUUAAUGCCUUUCAGAUGUGUAUUAAUCGCUCUUUCUUCUCAUUAACAUCCAUGCUGUAUUUCACUCAAGCAAUGUCCCCUGUUUGUGCAUACGCCUUGCUUUAUACCACUUACAUGCAGUAUUUGUUAGUGCUCUUUGCAGUUAUGAGUACCAUUCAGAUUUAUCAUAAAAGUUAUAUUGUCUAACACUCUAUGACCAAUUAUCUGUGGUGGUAUUUGCUCAUACACAGAAAAGUCGUGGUGGAUUUCACUACAUAGCUGUGUGUGUGUGUGUGUGUG